rnacentral:rRNA from 1 species
GACGAACGCUGGCGGCGUGCUUAACACAUGCAAGUCGAACGGAAAGGCCCUGCUUUUGUGGGGUGCUCGAGUGGCGAACGGGUGAGUAACACGUGAGUAACCUGCCCUUGACUUUGGGAUAACUUCAGGAAACUGGGGCUAAUACCGGAUAGGAGCUCCUGCUGCAUGGUGGUGGUUGGAAAGUUUCGGCGGUUGUGGAUGGACUCGCGGCUUAUCAGCUUGUUGGUGGGGUAGUGGCUUACCAAGGCUUUGACGGGUAGCCGGCCUGAGAGGGUGACCGGCCACAAUGGGACUGAGAUACGGCCCAGACUCCUACGGGAGGCAGCAGUGGGGAAUAUUGCACAAUGGGCGGAAGCCUGAUGCAGCAACGCCGCGUGCGGGAUGACGGCCUUCGGGUUGUAAACCGCUUUCGCCUGUGACGAAGCGUGAGUGACGGUAAUGGGUAAAGAAGCACCGGCUAACUACGUG